UACGAAGGGGGCUAGCGUUGUUCGGAUUUACUGGGCGUAAAGCGCACGUAGGCGGUUCGUUAAGUCGGGGGUGAAAUCCUGGAGCUCAACUCCAGAACUGCCUUCGAUACUGGCGAUCUUGAGUCCGGAAGAGGUGAGUGGAACUCCUAGUGUAGAGGUGGAAUUCGUAGAUAUUAGGAAGAACACCAGUGGCGAAGGCGGCUCACUGGUCCGGUACUGACGCUGAGGUGCGAAAGCGUGGGGAGCAAACAGG
rnacentral:rRNA from 1 species